rnacentral:rRNA from 1 species
CCUACGGGGGGCUGCAGUGAGGAAUAUUGGUCAAUGGGCUUACGCCUGAACCAGCCAAGCCGCGUGAAGGACGAAGGUGCCAAGCAUUGUAAACUUCUUUUGUCAAGGGACAAAAUCAGGCUCGAGAGCCUGACCGAGGGUACUUGAAGAAAAAGCAUCGGCUAACUCCGUGCCAGCAGCCGCGGUAAUACGGAGGAUGCGAGCGUUAUCCGGAUUUAUUGGGUUUAAAGGGUGCGUAGGCGGGCUGUUAAGUCAGCGGUAAAAGCCCGGGGCUCAACCCCGGCGAGCCGUUGAAACUGGCUGUCUUGAGAUGUCGAGAGGUAUGCGGAAUGCGCAGUGUAGCGGUGAAAUGCGUAGAUAUUGCGCAGAACUCCGAUUGCGAAGGCAGCAUACCGGCGGCGAUCUGACGCUGAGGCACGAAAGCGUGGGUAUCGAACAGGAUUAGAUACCCUUGUAGUC